UACGAAGGGGGGCUAGCGUUGCUCGGAAUCACUGGGCGUAAAGCGCACGUAGGCGGAUCUUUUAAGUCAGGGGUGAAAUCCUGGAGCUCAACUCCAGAACUGCCUUUGAUACUGGCAAUCUUGAGUCCGGAAGAGGUGAGUGGAACUCCUAGUGUAGAGGUGGAAUUCGUAGAUAUUAGGAAGAACACCAGUGGCGAAGGCGGCUCACUGGUCCGGUACUGACGCUGAGGUGCGAAAGCGUGGGGAGCAAACAGGG
rnacentral:rRNA from 1 species